rnacentral:lncRNA from 1 species
GCGGAGAGUUUGAUUUGCUUAAAGAGUAGGUGACGUUGUAUUUUUAUUUUCUUUAGUAGAAGUAGCUCGGUGGUGGCUGGUUUUAAUUUAUUUUCAAGCAUUUUAAUUUUUUUUAUUUUUAUCUUGGAGAUGGAGCUGCACGAUGGACAUUUAAAUGUUCCUUUUCUUGGAGAGAGGUUACUUUAGUUUUAGCAUUGCAUUUACUUAUUUGCAUUUAUGAUUUUAUCGGUAGGAUAGAUUUCUUUUUAUUUAUUAUUCACCAAGCUUAUCUUUUUAUGCUUCCUAUGUCUUAGUUGGAACGUGGGCAGUUUUAAUUGUCGUUAGGUUUAGCAUCCUCUUUUAUUUUAAUGUUUUCAAUUAUGUUUGGUUGUAUUUAAUUUCCAGUUUUAAUUUAAUUUAAUUUUCCUUGCAAUAACACUUUCAACCCCNNN